UGUCGAGUGGGUGUCGGCAGCGCUUGUUGCCUGGAGCCCGCAGCACAUGGAGAGCAACAACAGGAGACCAGGUGAAGACGCAUGGAGGUUCCUGAAGGUCGGGGUCUGCCGGCCCGGGAGUCUGGGGGCACAGCAGAACUGCAGUGGAGGAAGGUAAAUCCGAGGUCAUGAAUGCCACAAAUGGACAGCGAGAACUCCUGAGAGCACGCAGGAUCAUGAGGCACAGCCUGGCUAGAUGCACACUGUGCCUCCUUCCUCAUCCUCCAAGACUUCCAGUUCCCCUGAAGUUCCUGGGUCCAUGAUACUGUGUUCCAGCCUGUGAGUGGAUGCAAGGUGCCCAUAGGAAGCGUCCACAUGUGCUCCUCCAUGCUCUUUCAUCUCAGCUGGAUGGAGUCUGUGCCCAAGAAAACUUGGGAGUCAAAUUUUGAAACCAGUGGAGGCUGUGCCAUCUAGAGCCAUAAAGAUACUUAAGAGAAUGCAUCCACAUCCGACCUAGUCUUUCCACCUAGAGCUGUUGCAAGACCAGAAACAAGUCUUUUUGUUCCAAAUGACUGAAAUUUGGUAGUCAUUGGCUGGAGCAGCUGACAUUUCACUUCUAAACACUCUUUUGGGACAGGUAAACAGCAACUCUGCCAUUCCCAGGGGCAUCUCAAGGACAUGCGACAGUCUCUGAUCUCCCAUGGCUUCCUAGUUGCUGUAAGAUUAUUUAGUUCGGAGUUUGGUUUCUGGAGACAUGCCUCUCUAAGUUUCCCAGGCAGAACUUGAACUUGCAGUCCUCCUGCUUCAGGCCCCUGAGAAGCUGACAUGACAGCUGUGCACCACUGGACCCAGUCAGCCCCUGGGCUCCUCAGUCUCCUUGUGCCACAAUAACUUUUGCAGAGAAGUGAACCUUAUGGAUACCUCGGAGAAGAAAAUGUUUGUAAAAGCUGGAAAUAAACCAUGGUGUUACAAAAGAAACUAACUUGUUGAAAUAUUUAACAUAGUCCUUAAAAAGUGAAAUUUAUAUUGUUAUUAACAAGCCACAUAGAAAAAUGA
rnacentral:lncRNA from 1 species